rnacentral:rRNA from 1 species
CGAAAGCCUGACGGAGCAAGACCGCGUGAGGGAGGAAGGUCUGUGGAUUGUAAACCUCUUUUCUCAGGGAAGAAGAACUGACGGUACCUGAGGAAUCAGCAUCGGCUAACUCCGUGCCAGCAGCCGCGGUAAUACGGAGGAUGCAAGCGUUAUCCGGAAUCACUGGGCAUAAAGCGUCUGUAGGUGGUUUGAUAAGUCUGCUGUUAAAGACUAGGGCUUAACCCUAGGAAAGCAGUGGAAACUGUUAGACUUGAGUAUGGUAGAGGUAGAGGGAAUUCCUAGUGUAGCGGUGAAAUGCGUAGAUAUUAGGAAGAACACCAAUGGCGAAAGCACUCUGCUGGGCCACAACUGACACUGAGAGACGACAGCUAGGGGAGCA